rnacentral:rRNA from 1 species
AUUGAACGCUGGCGGCAGGCCUAACACAUGCAAGUCGAGCGGAUGACGGGAGCUUGCUCCUUGAUUCAGCGGCGGACGGGUGAGUAAUGCCUAGGAAUCUGCCUGGUAGUGGGGGACAACGUUUCGAAAGGAACGCUAAUACCGCAUACGUCCUACGGGAGAAAGCAGGGGACCUUCGGGCCUUGCGCUAUCAGAUGAGCCUAGGUCGGAUUAGCUAGUAGGUGAGGUAAUGGCUCACCUAGGCGACGAUCCGUAACUGGUCUGAGAGGAUGAUCAGUCACACUGGAACUGAGACACGGUCCAGACUCCUCCGGGAGGCAGCAGUGGGGAGUAUUGGACAAUGGGCGAAAGCCUGAUCCAGCCAUGCCGCGUGUGUGAAGAAGGUCUUCGGAUUGUAAAGCACUUUAAGUUGGGAGGAAGGGCAGUAAGUUAAUACCUUGCUGUUUUGACGUUACCGACAGAAUAAGCACCGGCUAACUCUGUGCCAGCAGCCGCCGUAACAC